ACUGCCCAAGCUGAGACUCCCACUGCCUGGACUUUUGUUUUGGCUUGUUAUCAUCUGGCCCGUACCACUCUGGGGCUGUCACAGACCUGCCAUUUUAAGAUCAGUCAUAUGCAGCAGCUGGGGACAGUCACACUGUGCAUCACUGCAAUCUGUGUGACAGAGAACGAUGGAAAAUACGCCCAGCCGCUCCCCUGUAAGUUUGUAGUCCCACCUACUGCUCCCCUUGGCUUGUAGGCUAGGCCACGCUAAGUCACAUGGUACAGAACUUCCUCAUACGCCUUUGCAAAUUGGAGUCAGAAACCCCCUCGGUUUGUGGGAUUUGAGGCUCUUUCCUUCGGACUCCCUACCACACGGCGGCUGUCUCACAGGUCCUCUGGGCUUGACUCUCUCCCUUCAGGAAAGCAUCGCGCUGUCUGGUGUGAUGGUCUUCUUCCGAGCUCUCCAACCUCACUCAAGACUUCAGCAUGCCCUGCCCCAUCUCCAAAAUCUCUCUUCCAGUAAAGCCUAAGGUAA
rnacentral:lncRNA from 1 species